GGGGAUUUAGCUCAGUGGUAGAGCGCUUGCCUAGCAAGCGCAAGGCCCUGGGUUCGAUCCCCAGCUCUG
rfam:Rattus norvegicus chromosome 2, whole genome shotgun sequence.